UACGGGAGUGGCAAGCGUUAUCCGGAAUUAUUGGGCGUAAAGCGUCCGCAGGCGGCCUUGAAAGUCUGUCGUUAAAGCGUGGAGCUUAACUCCAUUUAAGCGAUGGAAACUACAAGGCUAGAGUGUGGUAGGGGCAGAGGGAAUUCCCGGUGUAGCGGUGAAAUGCGUAGAUAUCGGGAAGAACACCAGUGGCGAAGGCGCUCUGCUGGGCCAUAACUGACGCUCAUGGACGAAAGCCAGGGGAGCGAAAGGG
rnacentral:rRNA from 1 species